UUUCUCUUCUAAACAAAAGCCUGAUUUUUAGGAACUUGGUACACAUGGACACCCCAAGCGGGAUUUACACAAGGAUCACAAAGCUAUAUAGGGCAAACAACACCUCUAAAAAACACAAGGAUCAAUAAGUUGUCCAGAAAAACCUACAGAAGCGGAGGAAAUAAGACCAAGCCUUACGUUAGGCCCGAGACAGAGUACACAGCGUGUCAAGAAGCGGGGCCAUCCGGAAUAACACAGAACAAAGUCGAUCACACAACCCCUUACCACUACGGACCCCUUGAAGAUCCCUUGACGUUUUGGAAUAUUUACGUGAUAUUGAACUCCCAGAACAACAAGAAAAACCACAACCUUUGGGCAACAUCGGAGAAUCGGAAGAAUUCUUCAUCACCGGACCGCACACACCAGCGAGUGAGUGUCUGCCUAGUGAUUUCAACGAUGUUUUCGAGUACAGUCUAUCAGAUUUCAACAUAAAUGACAUACCCGCCACACCAAAAUGUCUCAGAAACAACAGCGAUUCAGACAUAGGUUUUGAAGAAGGAGGCAUA